UGGUAGAACAUGGUUGGUACCAUAACUAUUUGUGAGGCAGGGUUCAAAGCCCUUUCUAAAAUUGACUUAAGUAGCUCAAUUUUGACUGAAUCGGUGGCUGAUGUAAAAGCCACACUAGAGGACCAUUGUAAGAUAUGGAGCAAGAAGGGUUGCACCAUCAUGACCGAGGGUUGGACCAAUAGGAGGAAUAUGAUGCCCUUGAAUUUCCUUGUUUCUUGUGCAGGUGGCACCAUGUUCUUCAAGUCCAAUGGUGCUUCCGCACAAUAAAAAAAUGCCACAUUCCUAUGUGAGGUUAUAGAAGAAGUCAUACUUGAGGUGGGUGAGGAAAAUGUAGUUCAAGAGGUGACCGAUAACACAACAAACUAUGUUGUUGCUGGUAGACUUUUGAUGGAGAGGCACCCAACUAUAUUUUUGUCUCUAUGUGCCACCCAUUGCCUUGUCCACAUAUUGGAGGAUAUAUGCAAGCUUCCAUGGAUUAGGACGUGUAAAUAAGGCAAAAAAUAAUUGGAAAUUUAUGUACAAUCACGUAUGGGUCCUUUGCCUAAUGAUGCAAUACAUGAGGCAGAAGGAGCUGGCUCAUUCUAGAAUCACAUUACAAUCCUUGAUUUGAUGAAAGGCAGGUUUGAGGCGUAUGUUUGUUGGUGAGUGGACUUCCUCAUCCUUUGCUACGACUGUUGCAGGGAUUUAUGUGAUAGAUUGCAUAUUUGAUGAGCUAGGCUUUUGGGCCUCUUGUGCAGAGAUUGUGAAGUCGAUUGAGCCCUUGUGUGGUCUUCUACGAGUUGCUGAUGGGGAGAAGUCCUCAAUGAGCUACACAUAUGAGGGCAUGGAUAGGGCCAAGAGGCCAUUAGAUCCGUCUAUGUAGGAGAUGAGAGUAAUUCUCGUCCAUUUGGGAGAUCACUAAUAGGAGGUGGCACCUCCAACUUCACAAGCCCUUCUAUGCAAUCGCUUAUUACCUCAUUCCGACAUUCCAUAUUCGUCUUGAUUUCAAGGCGGAUGAGGAGGUUCUUAAUGGGCUCUGCUUAGUGAUAGAGAGGAUGUCGCCAGGUGAUAGCAACACUAUAAUGCACGAAAUGGAAACAUCUUCUAACACAAAAGAGGAGGCCUUCUCUCCUCAAAUUUGCAAAGAUAGUUGGACAAAAUUGCA